rnacentral:rRNA from 1 species
UGGGGAAUAUUGGACAAUGGGCGAAAGCCUGAUCCAGCCAUGCCGCGUGUGUGAAGAAGGUCUUCGGAUUGUAAAGCACUUUAAGUUGGGAGGAAGGGCAGUAAGCGAAUACCUUGCUGUUUUGACGUUACCGACAGAAUAAGCACCGGCUAACUCUGUGCCAGCAGCCGCGGUAAUACAGAGGGUGCAAGCGUUAAUCGGAAUUACUGGGCGUAAAGCGCGCGUAGGUGGUUCGUUAAGUUGAAUGUGAAAGCCCCGGGCUCAAACUGGGAAAUGCAUCCAAAACUGGCGAGCUAGAGUAGGGCAGAGGGUGGUGGAAUUGCCUGUGUAGCGGUGAAAUGCGUAGAUAUAGGAAGGAACACCAGUGGCGAAGGCGACCACCUGGGCUCAUACUGACACUGAGGUGCGAAAGCGUGGGGAGCAAACAGG